rnacentral:lncRNA from 1 species
CAUAGAUAAGCAUCAAUAGUUAAUAUUUAUUCAGUGGUUCAAAAAGACUAAAAUACAAAUGAUCAUAUAGGCUUUAUACUUUUAAAUGGUUUUAUAUGCCUUUAUUACAAUUCAGAAAAUGCUUAAUGCUGGACCUUCAAUAUGGUUGAAUACCCAUUUAUUCAUUGCUUGAAUAUUCUUUUCCUGCCAAAUUUUUAUGUGAUUAAUGAUUUGUAGAGUAGUUGAUAAUAUAUAAAUACUUUCAUUAGCACAGACAUAACAUAUUCUCUAUCUAUAUAUAAUAUUUGAAAUAUUAUUUGUGAAAUAUACUUGAAUGACUACUGUGAAAUAUAUAGACAUGAUGACUCAAGCCCCAUGUAAAUUGA